rnacentral:rRNA from 1 species
CGAAAGCCUGACGGAGCAACGCCGCGUGCGGGAGGACGGCCUGUGGGUUGUAAACCGCUUUUCUCAGGGAAGAUAAUGACGGUACCUGAGGAAUCAGCAUCGGCUAACUCCGUGCCAGCAGCCGCGGUAAUACGGAGGAUGCAAGCGUUAUCCGGAUUUAUUGGGCGUAAAGCGUCCGUAGGCGGCUAAGCAAGUCUGCUGUAAAAGGUCGGGGCUUAACCCUGAAUGUGCAGUGGAAACUGUUUAGCUAGAGUACGGUAGGGGUUGAGGGAAUUCCCAGUGUAGCGGUGAAAUGCGUAGAUAUUGGGAAGAACACCAGUGGCGAAGGCGCUCAACUGGGCCGUAACUGACGCUGAUGGACGAAAGCUAGGGGAGCG